rnacentral:lncRNA from 1 species
GCCCCGGGAUACCAAUAUUGAUUUGUGUGAUUCAAGUAUCUUUGAUUGUUCUCUACAGGGAGUGAUCCGUGUAUAAAUAUUAUUAAUUUUUCACACUUUUCUUAUCAUUUCAAGUUGAACACUUUCAGAGUUUUAUCUUUGACGAGUUUUUGAUUUGGCUAAGUUAGCUACAUGUAUUUUGGAAAAUACCCUGUUUUUACUAAAUACUUUGUCAUAGUUGAGAUCCAUUACAUAUAUUCCUUUAGAAAUAAACAUUAUUAUGAAAUAAUCAUUAAAACAAUCAAUAUCAUUAUCAAUUUCUGCUUUGACUCAUUGACUUUUCUAAGUUACUAAUGUAGCCUUUAUUUUAUUUCCAGACCCUGUGCUUUUGGUUUUAUUUAAUUUAGAGUUACUGGUAGGAUUAGGAUUAUGAUAAAGGGAGCGUUAAACAAGGUUUAGGUAUGGUUUAGGUAUGGGUUAUGGUAAGGUUUAGAAUAAUGUUAAAUUUAGUAUAGCCCUAUAUUGGCUGGGUCCACUAAAGAAAAUAAAGACCUUUCAAUCAAACCAAAAUAUCUCAGAGAAAUCACCAUAAC